rnacentral:rRNA from 1 species
UCUACGGGCGGCUGCAGUAGGGAAUCUUCCACAAUGGGCGAAAGCCUGAUGGAGCAACGCCGCGGGGGUGAAGAAGGUCUUCGGAUCGUAAAACCCUGUUGUUAGAGAAGAAAGUGCGUGAGAGUACCUGUUCACGUUUCGACGGUAUCUAACCAGAAAGACACGGCUAACUACGUGCCAGCAGCCGCGGUAAUACGUAGGUAGCAAGCGUUAUCCGGAUUUAUUGGGCGUAAAGGGCACGCAGGCGGUCGUUUAAGUAUGAUGUGAAAGCAUUCGGCUUAACCGGAGUAGUGCAUUGGAAACUGGGAGACUGGAGUGCAGAAGAGGAGAGUAGAACUCCAUGUGUAGCGGUGAAAUGCGUAGAUAUAGGGAAGAACACCAGUGGCGAAAGCGGCUCUCUGGUCUGUAACUGACGCUGAGGUUCGAAAGCGUGGGUAGCAAACAGGAUUAGAUACCCCUGUAGUC